AGCUGGCUGUGAGUCAGUGACGGGUCACUGGCCACAGCAGGGCUGUUGGAGACAGGGCAGACCCAGAGCACGGACCGAAGACAAGUCCAACCUGGUUCCAGCCUCAGGGGCCUCAAGGCGCUGUGUGUUCUUUCCAGUCCCCAUCUCAAUGCUAUCGCACUCCAGCUAGAAAGUGCUCCAUCUCUGUCUCCCUGAGCAGAACAUCCCUUUCUUGAUCAGCUCUGCCAGCCCUGGCCCCUGCGUUGCUCACCUCACACCCAGUGGACCCCUCCCCUGAGUCAGGGGUGCAAAGGAGGCAGGGUCUGUUCAGAGGCUAGCUUCUGCUGCUGACUUGAAGUGUGCAAGGCCACGUUCCCGUGAAUGUGCCAGCACAGGGUUUGCACGGCCCGUCUGCACAUCCUGGACAAGGUACUGGCAGAAUGUGAGUACCACGAGGACAGAGACAUUGGCUGAUGUUUCCACUCCUGUAGCCCCAGUGCCCAGAGCCAUGCCUGGCACAGAAGAGAGAUCCAGAAGUUUCCAAGGCCAAGGCAGUGAAGUCUCUGGGGGAUAAAUGCCAGCGUGUGUGUGUGUGUGUGUGUGUGUGUGUGUGUGUGUGCGUGCGCGUGCACGCGUUUGGGACAGAGACCUGUGAGGUUCCCUGAGGGAAAUUGGGAACAAUGGUCUCCCCACGGCUGUGGCUUCCCAGGCUUCCUGGAUGUGUAAGUGAGGAGGCAGCACCUCCUUUGUCUGGUGACCUGGGGUGGCUGGGCUGAACACCAGCCUCUCUCAGCACCCCUGAGCACAGUCCAUCUGUCCCCAAGGAGGGACUGGGGUGCUUCGGCUCUUACCCCACUUUGGAGGGACCUCAGGCCCAGGCCUCCCUCUUAUCGGUGCCAUUUUUCUUCCUUCUGUGGCAUCUGCUGCCCUCCUUACCCCGCCUUCCUGUCACCAGUGCCUGAUGGGCCCCCUCCUGCCUGCAUUGUUGGCACCAAAUUCUCACACUUGUGGCUUUAGUGGUGCUGUAGGGUUCCCCGUGUCUCCUCAAGUGGGGUAGUGUACCCACCUCGGGCUUCCUGGUGCUCAGCCCCCCACUGCUGCCACUCUGGUCCUUGUCCUAGGCUCAGUGAGAGGGAUUCCAGAAAAAAAGCUGCAGAGGCUCCUGCUGGAACCACUGCCCCUCCUGCUGGGGAAGGGCUCUCUCCUUCUCCACUUGUCCCGCUCUCCCCGCAGCUGAGGGGCCAGCGCCAGAGACGCCUGCUUGACUUCUGGCUGGGAUACAGGGACUGGUAGGGAGGGUUUGCGUAGACUCAGCUUUGGAUCCAGGCCCCCUGCCCAGCCUCAGUGGGGUUACCCCGUGUUGAAAGGAUGCCCCCAUCUGUCCAAGCCCCCCACCCUGUUUCCUGCUCCCUAUACCUGGAAGGCCCACAACCACUGCCCCAUCCUCAGAGCUCUCAGGACCCCCAGUUCUAGAGCUCCCAGCCCUGGCAGGACCCCAGAAUAUUCACAAGGGAAGGAUUUCAGGGUUCAGAGGUUUAAGUAUGUUGUAUGGAGUGCCCUGGGGCUGAUCUGUGUGUGUGUGCACGUGUGUGUGUGACGGACUGGGGGCCCCUACUCCUAUGUUGACCAUAGAACCCAGAACUUUUUUUGCGUUACCAAUGGAAAUAUUACAUAAAUUACCACUUAAAGAAAAGAAUCCAUUAUUUAAAAAAUGUUUGAAAACCAAGAAAACUGGACAAAACUCAUUUUGCAUCCUGGGAAACUGAGGCCCAGAGGAGGACAUGGCUUCUCAAGGUCACAGUGGGAUCAGGGGCAAAGCUGGUA